AUUGAACGCUGGCGGCAGGCCUAACACAUGCAAGUCGAACGGUAACAGGAAGCAGCUUGCUGCUUUGCUGACGAGUGGCGGACGGGUGAGUAAUGUCUGGGAAACUGCCUGAUGGAGGGGGAUAACUACUGGAAACGGUAGCUAAUACCGCAUAACGUCGCAAGACCAAAGAGGGGGACCUUCGGGCCUCUUGCCAUCGGAUGUGCCCAGAUGGGAUUAGCUAGUAGGUGGGGUAACGGCUCACCUAGGCGACGAUCCCUAGCUGGUCUGAGAGGAUGACAAGCCACACUGGAACUGAGUCACGGUCCAGACUCCUACGGGAGGCAGCAGUGGGGAAUAUUGCACAAUGGGCGCAAGCCUGAUGCAGCCAUGCCGCGCGUAUGAAGAAGGCCUUCGUGUUGUAAAGUACUUUCAGCGGGGAGGAAGGGAGUAAAGUUAAUACCUUUGCUCAUUGACGUUACCCGCAGAAGAAGCACCGGCUAACUCCGUG
rnacentral:rRNA from 1 species